GGCUGGUGGAGCUUUGAGAGAUUUUUCCGUACGUGCAAACUCAUUACAGGUGAAAAAGGUGGUCCACCCGUUGAGUCUACUCCAAAAAGGGAGCUAAUGUAGAAUCAUUUAUCAAACAUAUUAGGCAGAUUCACGUGGACGCCAUAUUUUGAUUUCAAAAUGGCAAAACAAACGCAGGAGGUUUGCAGGUAUGUUAUUCUAAAUGGUAAAUGGUAUAAAUGGUAAAUGGACUGUACUUGUAUAGCACUUUUCUAGUCUUCUGACCACUCAAAGCGCUUUAACACUACAUGACAUCAUUCACCCAUUCACACACUGAUGACAGGAGAACCACACACAGUGACACAGUGACACCUGUCCAUCAGUAACCAACAAUCACACACUGUAGUCGCAGCUACAGGAGCAAUGUUGGGUUAAGUGUUUUUCCCAAGGACACAACGACAUGCGGGUUAGCAGAGCCUGGGAUCGAACCGACAACCCUCUGAUUGGACAGAGGGCUGCAGGGUCUGAUUACAGAGCUGCAUCUGGUUGGUUGGUGCUUAAAUGUGGACACGCCCCACUCAGCUGGUCACAUAUUCCUUCCGCUUUAGCUCCAUUUUUGAUCACGGCGAAGGUAAGAUAUGAUUCAUGCUUCAGCUGCUUGUUUGUUCUUUUGUUGAGUUUUAAUGAUGAUAUAUAUCACGUGUGUAGAUAGAUGAUGGAGCAGUAGUUUUUGAUGUGUGCUGAUGUAGUGUCCUGGGUUUUGGAAUUGUGUUUAAUUAAGAGUAAAAAUGGUUAUCGUGAUCUUUGACCCAAUCUUCUGGCCCAGUUUGUAGGUUUGUGGGAUGAAAAUGUUUCGAACGACUCUUUCUUCGAGUCAUUUGGGGGGGGUAAGAUAUUACCGAUACCAGUAAGAUGAACACAUUUUUUCUUUGAGAGGACUCGUUACUCUCGAGUCCUUGUAAGGAUUCACGGGUCGUACGGUUCACGAACGACACAUCACUAGAAAACGGUGAGUGAUGGCUUCAAUAAUUGUAAUAUUUUCUGGUAUAUCUUAAGUUACCCAGGAGCUUUGUUGACAUAUACUUAGCUAAUGUUAGCUACAGCUUGAUGAAUUGAGUCAUUUACCGCGACGUUGGCCAGCUAGCUAAAGCUCCGGUAGCUAACGCUAGCGUUUUUGACAAGGCAGAAGGUAAAGUGCUCCACCGUUCUAUCAAUAAGCAGACCUGCCAACCUGAUAAGCAUUUUGGCAUUUUGACUUCAAAGUACGCUGGUACGACUUCACUCUCAACUACGCAAAAAUUUGUUUAAAAUUCAUUUUAGACUAGUUGACCAGCACACAUUAUAUGCAAUGCAAUAUAUUGCAUGACGAGUAUUUAAUGAAUUGUUCCCUAUUAGUUGUUGUCAAUUCCCAUCCCCCCCUCGUCGGUACCCCCUGGGACAAAACCAGUUGAAAACCUCUAGAGGGGUAAUCUCCUUCUCACCUUUUUCACCCUUGACCCGUUUUCAUGCCUGUCAUUAGAAAAUCAAAUUAUCCAUUAACUACAUAUUUCUCCUCAGGUUGCUGCUAGGCCUGGCCGGGAUGGCCCAAAAUCCAUAUUACAGCAUUUAUAAAGAUUCUGACCGACUGGUCAUGGAUGUGUAUGCUGAUCUCUGCCGUUCAUUUGGACCCUGCUGAAUAGUACAUUGAGUGGAGACCAAUUCUACGACUACUAGGCCAUAAGACUUCCUGUGUGGAUAGCUUCCUUGCUCCACGCUGCCAAACGCCUGAAGAGUGACUGCGCCCGUCGCAAGAAGGUCUACAGGCUCCUGCAAAGGAAACUGACACCACGAUGGUCCGCCUCCGAAAUCACCUGAAAUGUGCCUUUGCUUUCAGACGAUUCAAACUGUCCAACCACCACGGCUGUCUGCUCUCGGUGUGUUCACCCAGUCCUCUAGUUCGUUCUCUGUUUCGGGCCAGUGGCACUUUCUUCCUCUGACUGCUUUGUGAGACUUCUUGCAUCUUCUCCUUCUUGCAAGUUCUGCAGCCUCCAAUCUGGAACCAUGGACUCCUUGAUCCGUUUGAGUGCCGCAGCUCGGUUCCCCUUUCAAUGGCCACGUCAAUAGCCUUUAGUUUAAAAGCCGCUGUCACACGUUACAGCGUGUCUUCGACAUGUUUAUAUCUGGGGAUGAGCGAUGGCGGGAAUAAAUACCGAAAUCAACCACGCCCUUAUUUUAUCCGCCGGGGUCAAAGGUGAGAAUAAAGGAAAGUAACAAGUUUCGGCUUAAAACCGGCAUUUAAGGAUACUUUCAGUAUGUGUCCUGGGUUAGUUUUAAGAUGUGAGCCAAUGUAACCGGUCCAGACCUAGAGGUGUCUGGACCGGUAACAUGUGAUUCACACUGGAUUAAUGAAGAGACAUACAUCGUGGGUACGUCUUCAUCGAGCCAGCGUCAUUUCAUUCUGGCUCACGUCGCUUGGUUUGCUCCCCGGUGGCACACAUUCGCCAUCUAACGAUGUGGAGGAGUAGGUCCACGAUGCGUUUGACUGCUCAAAAACCUAUUACAUCACCACUGGAAUACAGGAGCCGCAGCAUGGACACAACAGGAAAGUAGAAACCUGAAAUAAAAGUCUGAGAAUAACCGUCUACCAUUUGAAGAGAGUGAGACACAACAUUGAUAGUUGGUCCUCACUAACCACUAUUUAACUAUUUAGACCUACAGUAUUCUUGUAAAACCCCUUAAACGGAUUAUAUAUCCCACCUGGACAGGUCUGGGAAAGUCGGGACUACCUUGCUUUACAUUGACCUGGAUAAGAGAAAAUGGACGAAAAAACUAUUUUUUUAGCAUUGACUAUUAGUUAUGAAAUAGUAUUCCCAGGUGUUCCUAUUUCUUUUCUUUGAUUCCCAGAUGUACACGGGGUCGGUGUGAAGGGGGGGGAUCGGUGCCACCCCACAUACGUCUACCCUGAGGAGGUGAAACAGUUGAUUCGUUGUGUGUUCUCACAGGACAUCUGUGACUACCCCGACCCCUGCCACGACCAGGUGGUGUACGUCACUCUGGAGGAUUUGCACAAAGUUGACAUCAACUGAAGUGUGUGUCUCUUCUUCUAUGCUGAUGAACAACUUCCAGUCAUGGAUCAGCAACAGUUUUGCAAUGUGGGAAGUUGAUUCUCGAGGGUGUUGAUUGAAAGCUUAUUUCAAGAUGUUUUACUGAGUGGUUUCAGUGUCCCUCAACAUGAAUAUUAGGGUUUACAAAUAUUGUAUAUUUAUAUUGGAUCUCCACUCUUGACAAAUUACAGCUGUCAAGCUCAAAUGCUGAUCCACUAUAAGAACCGACUACAGCAUCUGACCGUUUGUGUAGUUACAAUGCCAAGUAGAAUUCACAAUACAUUCAUUGUAUUUAAUUGUAAUUAAUAUGGAGGGACAAUUUUACUCUGUAAUACAAACAGUAAUAAAACAGUGUUUUCUGUUAUUUUUUCCAAUAAAAGAAUAAAAAGUGUUCCACUACCAAUAGGGUUGUAUUUAAUCCGAAAACAUCUAGAUGUCGAGAAGAAAACAACCUUGAAACCUUGAGGCAGCGGUGUCCAGAUUUGAUGAUGUAAAGAUGCCUGGGGGCCAAUAGUACCUUCUGACAUUUUUAACCAUAAAAGUUACAUGAGAUACACGUUCAUUGUCACCAUUAUCUAGUUUUUUUCCAAUGGCAAUGUAGCCAACGAUAUUCCACUCAGGCAGGCAUCGACAACUCUAAAAGCACUGGUUUGUCUUUUAUUCAUCAUUGAACGAACUCCAUGAAGUUGAUAAAUACCUUUUUACAUUGUGAUCCUUUUAAACAGGAUUGAAUAAAUAACUCUGCUAAAGGAGGAAUUGCAUUUUAAAGUUUCAUGGUUUAUUUAACUGUGCUAGCAGGACAUACACAAUAC
ensembl:lncRNA